ensembl:snRNA U6 U6 spliceosomal RNA
GUGCUUGCUUCGGCAACACAUAUACUAAAAUUGGAACGAUACAGAGAUUAGCAUGGCCCCUUAAAAAAGAGAAAGAAAACAGAGGACAAAAAAGAAGUA